AGUGAGAUAACUGGGUCAAAUGUUAAUUCUAUAUCAGAUUUUCUGAGGAAUCUCCAUACUGCUUUCCAGAGUAGUUGCACCAAUUUGCAGUCCCACCAGCAU
rnacentral:pre_miRNA from 1 species